rnacentral:rRNA from 1 species
AACGAACGCUGGCGGCAUGCCUAAUACAUGCAAGUCGAACGAGACCUUCGGGUCUAGUGGCGCACGGGUGCGUAACGCGUGGGAAUCUGCCCUUGGGUUCGGAAUAACGUCGGGAAACUGACGCUAAUACCGGAUGAUGACGUAAGUCCAAAGAUUUAUCGCCCAGGGAUGAGCCCGCGUAGGAUUAGCGAGUUGGUGGGGUAAAGGCCUACCAAGGCGACGAUCCUUAGCUGGUCUGAGAGGAUGAUCAGCCACACUGGGACUGAGACACGGCCCAGACUCCUACGGGAGGCAGCAGUAGGGAAUAUUGGACAAUGGGCGAAAGCCUGAUCCAGCAAUGCCGCGUGAGUGAUGAAGGCCUUAGGGUUGUAAAGCUCUUUUACCCGAGAUGAUAAUGACAGUAUCGGGAGAAUAAGCUCCGGCUAACUCCGUGCCAGCAGCCGCUGUAAGAC